UGCCUGUAGGUCACCUGACCUGGGUCCUCUGCCUUCUUCUCAUCUUGUCGUGCUCGCUUUCGGAUCGUCUCGCUGCUGCUCCCGACUGCACGCAAGGCUUCGGUAUUAGUAUGUGACCUUCAGCUUAUUUUCAAAAAUGCCUAUGCCAUGGAAGAGAAAACCUGGGGUGACAAGAGGAAAGGAUCAGAGCAAAGCAGAGCUGCUGGAAACACAGAUACAGUUGGAAGUUGUGGGUCCUCCAAGAACACACGAUGCAGGAUCUAUAUUUCAGAAGGAAUGAAGGGAAGACGAAGGUUUCAAGGUUCCUGGCAUCCUAUGUUGCAGCUGUCAGUUGAGGUUCAGGCUGGAUAUCAGGAAAAGGUACUUCACCAGAGGGUGGCCAGGCACUGGAACAGGCUCCCCAGGCCAGUAAGAAGCAUCUAGAUAAUGUUCUCAGACAUGGGGUCUGAUUUUUGUGUGGAGCCAGGAGCUGGACUCAACCUUUACAGGUCCCCCUUCCAACUAAUGAUAUUCUAUGAUUCUAUGAACUGGCAAUAUGGUUUAAAGGUCUCUUUCUCCUCUUCCUAACCAGAAGCACCAUCAGCUGCAUAGUGAGAAAGAAAAAGGGGGAUGAUAAUUACCCUCUUGCACAGCCCAUCAAGAUCAGAGAGAUGAUCUGCCAAAGACCUUGAUAGCUUCAUCAUAUGUUUUUCUCUCUUUUUAUUGUCAUAAUGAAGGAUUCAAAUGGUAACAUCAACUCUGAGCACAGAUAGGCACUAGCAUUAUCUGAUUCAGCAUUUAUCUAUGAUACUUUGGUUUUACACUAAUAGUUGACAGGCUGAAGCUCAGUGAAGCCAUAAUCCUAAAAGUAAAAACAAUGAAAUAAUCAGCUGAUAGAAAUAGCAAUAGGACCUAUUUUAAGAGGAUGCAUAUGUGUAUAUAAAUAAAGAAAUAUUAAAUCAAAAUUUGCCUGUCAUAAAGUCAUUGUAUCAAAAUAACAGGAAUGAUUUAGAUUUCUGAGGACAGUACUUCUUUCAAUCCACAGUUUAAAUAAAGGCACGCAGAAUUACUGAAGCUUUAGCUGCCCUUUGUUCUCAAGGAAAAAAAAAAAAAAAAAAA
ensembl:lncRNA